UCAGUAUCCGCUAUAGCAAGACAACCAAGAGAUAAAACAACAACGUAUGAAGCAUAAUUAACCAGAUCAAUGGAACCAUCGGGUUUUUUGAAACAAUUUGGGGAACCAAAUUUUUGGUAAAAAUUUUCUCUUGUAAAAACAGGAAAUAAAGGAUUGUAUGAUUUGAAGUAGGCAUCUAUGUAUAUAUUGGCAAUCUCUGAAGAAGGUAAUUCGGCUUUUGAGCCAUCGAAACUCUCAUCAGGAUCAAACAAACAACCCGAUUUAGCCAUGGACAGAUGCUCUAAAACUUUAUCGGAUUCAACUCCUGAUGCAAAUUUUGCAGCAUGUUGAAUAAUGGAAAAGGUAGAUGAAGAGCCGAAAUAUUUUUGAGAACCGAUCGGAGUAGUGACGAGAGUCCCCAUUUUUUCAUUCAAAAACGCUAUAUCGUCGGUGGAGUCAUCGGAAGAAGUUUCGCCUUUCGUACAGUUUAGAUCAUGAUAGUUUUUGGGAGUAGAGGAGGGAUGUAUAAUAUCAGGCUGCUGGUC